CCUACUGGCGGCAGCAGUGAGGAAUAUUGGUCAAUGGCCGGAAGUCUGAACCAGCCAAGUCGCGUGAGGGACGACUGCCCUAUGGGUUGUAAACCUCUCUUAUAAGGGAAGAAGAAAUGCUACGUGUAGCAUGAUGCCUGUACCUUAUGAAUAAGCAUCGGCUAACUCCGUGCCAGCAGCCGCGGUAAUACGGAGGAGGCGCUCGUUAUCCGGCUUUGAUGGGGGGAAAGGGUGCGUAGGCGGUUUUUUAAGUGAGUGGGUAGACGUCGGGGCUUCACCUUGAGUUGCCAUUCAUACUGUCAGCCUCGAUUUCAGCCGAGGUAGGCGGAAUCCGUUCCGUAGCGGU
rnacentral:rRNA from 1 species